GUCCACCCACUCUCAGCCGUCCGGAUAGCCGUCUCUGUAGUAAGUAAAACAACAUAGGGGCCUUCCCAUUGUGGCGUUAAAGACGUUUCCUUCCAUGUUUUAAUUGGAACCCUAUCUCCAGGUUGGAU